rnacentral:tRNA from 1 species
GGUUGUGGCUCAGCGGUAGAGCGCUAACCUAGUGCAUGCAAGGCCCUGGGUUCUAUCCUCAGCACCA